GUGUAUUUUAGUAGCGGGAUAGAGGCGUCCCCUGUUUUCUCCCGACUUCCCCCCGAACCCCCGCGCGUGCGCGUGCGCCGUUCACGCCGCCGGCCUCGCCGUGCUCCACCGCCGACCCGACGUGCUCCGCGCCUGCCCACGCCACGCCCCACCGUUGGACUCCCUCACAGCCCCUGUGCAAUACUUGCCCGGCCUCUGCAACCCGCAGGCAAACCCGCAGUCUAGGGUUUCCACGGGGAUUUGCCGAUACCGGUCGUCGAUCCGCCAUCUCCGGCCGCCGCGCCUCGGCUUGUACACCUCCAGCGACCCCCCCUGCACCGCCUCCUUCAUAUCAAGAGAGCCAAUUUUCCCAACGAGAAUGGAAGGCUCGACAAUGGAAGGCUCGCCGGCGACACGCCUCCCGGAGGCUGACUCCCUCCCUGAUGGCUUCGUCGAGAGCUCUGGCGUGUGCAUGGCCUCUACUCCAUCCCCUGCACCCGCCUCGGAGGAUCCACCACAUGUCACUCUUGACUCAGAUUGCCCCCCAGCCACCAGCCCAGGCGAUAGGGAAACCCUGGGCUAUCCCUCUAUCCCCACCCCAACUGUUGAGGAUUCCUCCUCGGGCGCUGCCGAAGCCUUGGAGGCACUCUCUUUGCAUGCCGCUGUGGAGCCGGAACGCGCUCUAGGGGAGCAUGGAUCUGGCAAUGCUGCAAAAGACGCUGAAGAAUCCUUGAAGCAGAGUUGUGCAGCUGAACAAGAAGGAUCUCUAACUGCUCAAAAGCAAAAGGAAAGCGGUGAGCCAAAACGCAAGGUCGUGAAGCGUAGUAAGUUCGAGAAGGACAGAGAGCUGUUUGAACUUGCCCAGCAAUACCACAAAGUGGUGGCAGAAAAGGAUGCAGCCAUUGCAGUCAAAGAAAAACUAGAAUCUCUUUGUAGAGAGUUUCAGCGUCAAAACAAAAUGCUGAAGGAAGAGUGCCGAAGGGUGUCGACAGAGGGGCAGAACAUGCGUAUGGAAUUGUCUGAUAAAUUCAAUAAUGCCAUAAAGGAUGUGAGUGUCAAGCUUGAGGAGCAGAAAAAUGAAUGCAUUGCUCAGCUAGAAGAGAACAAUCUGUUGAGAAGUAAACUCAAAGAUCUCGCUGAUCAAUAUAACAUUACUCAGCAGAAAUAUGCUCACCAGUUGAAAGAGAAGAUGCUGGAACUUGAGCUUGCGGAUCUGAAACUUCAACAGCAUCAAGAGAAGGCUGCUCAGGAACAUACCCAAAUGCAGUUAUAUGCUGAGCAAGUUUCUCAGCUUAUGACUACUGAGAAGAACCUGCGGCUGCAACUAGCUUCUGAUGGAGAAAGAUUUCAGCAGUUUCAGGAUGCCCUGUCAAAAAGCAAUGAAGUCUUUGAAACUUACAAGCAGGAGAUGGAAAAGAUGAUCUCGGUGAUAAAGAAUCUGAAGAAGGAGAAUGAAUUUCUGAAGGGUAAAUGUGAGAACUCAGAUAUCGCUCUUGUGAAGCUCAUCGAAGAGCGUGAGCUAACAAAGAAGCAAAUAGAGAAGUUGAAAAAUCAAAAGGAGAAGCUUGAAUCCCUGUGUCGUUCGCUACAGGCAGAAAGGAAACAAGCCCCCUCCGCCAGUACUCCGGAGGCCCCCUCUAGCCAAGAUGUGGCAGUGACAAGCCAAGAUUCAUAAUGCUUGUGUUGUGUGCUUCAUCUUUCUGAUGUGCUUGCCAAUGUUUCAUUGGCCCCACCUACCGCUUGCCCGAGAUUUCUGAAGCCUGAGAAAAUGUGUGAGACUUCUGUGCACUGGGCACGUUGAUGUCACACCCAACCCAACUAGCCUACCGCCUGCGGGCCUUUGUGUUGGGGAGUACGGAGAGAUACUUGACAGCCCCUGGCGUUUUGAGAUUGUUGCCAGAGGGGUGGUAGCCACCUGAAUGGCUGAAACUUUUGCAUGCUAGUGACUCGCUAUUACUAGCAGGCAUAUGUAGUCCUCCAACUGUAUCUUUUUCCCCUUUCGUAUAAGGGAAUUUUUAUAAUCUUUUUUUU